AUGGAGGCCGCCGCGUCCACGCUGCUCCUCUCCGCCGACGCGCCCCUCGCCGCCGGCCGCCGCCUCCUUCUCGUCCCUUCUCGGCCCGCGCGGGCACGGCGGGGCGCCGCGCCCAGCAGGUGCCCGCGGGCGUCCGUCCGCGCGUACGCCGCGGCGGCCGCGCCAGCACCGGCCUCUGGAAACGGCCUCGCCGGGAAUAACAACGGCGGGUACACUGUUGGUGACUUCAUGACGAAAAGGGAGGAUCUCCAUGUCGUCAAAACGUCAACUCCGGUUGAUGAAGCGCUCGAGAUGCUGGUGCAGAACAGGAUCUCUGGUUUUCCUGUUAUCGAUGACGACUGGGAGUUGGUUGGCGUUGUCUCAGAUUACGAUCUAUUAGCUUUGGACUCAAUGGCAGGGUGUGGACUGGCUGAUACGAAUUCAAAUAUGUUCCCUGAAGUAGAUAGCACUUGGAAGACAUUUCGCGAGAUCCAGAGACUCUUGAGCAAAACCAGUGGCAAAGUUAUCGGUGAUGUUAUGACUCCCUCACCUCUUGUGGUGCGUGAAACUACUAACCUCGACGCUGCUGCAAGGUUGCUACUUGAAACUAAAUACCACAGAUUGCCUGUUGUUGAUAGCGCGGGAAAAUUGGUUGGGAUGAUCACAAGGGGGAAUGUCGUCAGAGCUGCUCUCGAAAUAAAGAAGAAAGCUGAAGGUGCUUAA
rnacentral:rRNA from 1 species